AUAAAAUGUCAACAACGGGGACAACUGAGUGUGGGAUGGACAGGAACUCUGUACUAACUUUGCAACCUUUCUAUAAAUCUCAAGCUACAUAUUCUAAAACAAAAGAGUUUAUUUUU